UGGAUCCCUCGUGCCCAGCAGGGGCCUUGCCCAAAGUGGGCACUCAAGAAAUACUAACUGAUCCAAUGAACAAGGACAAAGCCGAGGCCCAGUCAGGCCAAGCAGGAGAAAAAAGCCGCUCCUGGAGCCAGUGCCUGGAAGAAGCAGUAGAGAACCGCAUUCCAGACGUCUAGCUGCAGCUCAGCCCCUGACUCUCUGACCAGGGACUAUCCACCUCUUGUCACUUGCUUCACCAGCUGCAAAACCCCACUUUGGUCUUUUCCCCCCGGGGCCUGCACAUCUUUGGGAACGAAGAGCAAUUUCACAUUAAAACGUCACUCACC